CCAGGAGCAUCGCUGGGUAGCUAUGUGUGGCAGGGAUAAACGCUGAAAGCAUCUAAGCGUGAAGCCCCCCUCAAGAUGAGAUUUCCCAUUUCUUCGGAAAGUAAGAUCCCUGAAAGAUGAUCAGGUAGAUAGGUUUGGAGUGGAAGUGUAGCGAUACAUGGAGCGGACAAAUACUAAUCGAUCGAGGACUUAACCAAAA
rnacentral:rRNA from 1 species